ACGGGUGAGUAACGCGUGGGAAUCUACCCAUCUCUACGGAAUAACGCAUGGAAACGUGUGCUAAUACCGUAUACGUCCUUCGGGAGAAAGAUUUAUCGGAGAUGGAUGAGCCCGCGUUGGAUUAGCUAGUUGGUGGGGUAAAGGCCUACCAAGGCGACGAUCCAUAGCUGGUCUGAGAGGAUGAUCAGCCACACUGGGACUGAGACACGGCCCAGACUCCUACGGGAGGCAGCAGUGGGGAAUAUUGGACAAUGGGCGCAAGCCUGAUCCAGCCAUGCCGCGUGAGUGAUGAAGGCCCUAGGGUUGUAAAGCUCUUUCACCGGUGAAGAUAAUGACGGUGACCGGAGAAGAAGCCCCGGCUAACUUCGUGCCAGCAGCCGCGGUAAUACGAAGGGGGCUAGCGUUGUUCGGAUUUACUGGGCGUAAAGCGCACGUAGGCGGACUAUUAAGUCAGGGGUGAAAUCCCGGGGCUCAACCCCGGAACUGCCUUUGAUACUGGUAGUCUUGAGUUCGAGAGAGGUGAGUGGAAUUCCGAGUGUAGAGGUGAAAUUCGUAGA
rnacentral:rRNA from 1 species